UAUAGUAGGAAAUAUUUUUUAAUAGCAUGGUUCUAUUAACAUUUCCUUAAAAAAUCUCUGAGAAGGGGCAAAAGUCGCACAUAAUUUUGGAAAAGGGUCAAAACAUCAAAAUUUUUAAAAAGUUGGG